rnacentral:rRNA from 1 species
AACGAACGCUGGCGGCAUGCCUAACACAUGCAAGUCGAACGAGAUCUUCGGAUCUAGUGGCGCACGGGUGCGUAACGCGUGGGAAUCUGCCCCUUGCUUCGGAAUAACAGUGAGAAAUUACUGCUAAUACCGGAUGAUGUCUUCGGACCAAAGAUUUAUCGGCACGGGAUGAGCCCGCGUAGGAUUAGGUAGUUGGUGGGGUAAUGGCCUACCAAGCCGACGAUCCUUAGCUGGUCUGAGAGGAUGAUCAGCCACACUGGGACUGAGACACGGCCCAGACUCCUACGGGAGGCAGGAGAGGGGAAUAUAGGACAAUGGGGGAAGGCCUGAUCCAGCAAUGCCGGGUAAGUGAUGAAGGCCUUAGGGUUGUAAAGCUCUUUUACCAGGGAUGAUAAUGACGGUACCUGGAGAAUAAGCCCCGGCUAACUCCGUG